rnacentral:rRNA from 1 species
AGUCACUGACAUUAGAUACCCCUGUAGUCCAGGGUGUAAACGCUGCAGACUUGGUGUUGGAAGUCCUUUGGGGGCAUUCAGUGCCGGAGAGAAGUUGUUAAGUCUGCUACUUGGGAGUACGUCCGCAAGGAUGAAACUUAAAGGAAUUGGCGGGGGAGCACCGCAACGGGAGGAGCGUGCGGUUUAAUUGGAUUCAACACCGGAAACUCACCAGUGAAGACUGUUACAUGAAAGCCAGGCUGAUGACCUUGCUAGAUUUUCAG